rnacentral:rRNA from 1 species
AUUGCCUUAGUAACCGCGAGUGAAGCGGCAACAGCUCAAAUUUGAAAUCUGGCCCCAGGCCCGAGUUGUAAUUUGCAGAGGAUGCUUUUGGCGCGGUGCCUUCCAAGUUACCUGGGACGGGACGCCGGAGAGGGUGAGAGCCCCGUCAGGUCGGACACCAAGCCUAUGUAAAGCUCCUUCGACGAGUCGAGUAGUUUGGGAAUGCUGCUCAAAAUGGGAGGUAUAUGUCUUCUAAAGCUAAAUACCGGCCAGAGACCGAUAGCGCACAAGUAGAGUGAUCGAAAGAUGAAAAGCACUUUGGAAAGAGAGUUAAACAGCACGUGAAAUUGUUGAAAGGGAAGCGUUUACGACCAGACUUGUGCCGGUUGAUCAUCCAGCGUUCUCGCUGGUGCACUCUGCCGGCCCAGGCCAGCAUCAGUUCGCCGCGGGGGAUAAAGGCGUCGGGAAUGUAGCUCCCUCCGGGAGUGUUAUAGCCCUUCGCGUAAUACCCUGAGGUGGACUGAGGUUCGCGCAUUCGCAAGGAUGCUGGCGUAAUGGUCGUCAACGACCCGUCUUGAAACACGGACCAAGGAGUCGUCUUCGUAUGCGAGUGUUCGGGUGUAAAACCCCUACGCGUAAUGAAAGUGAACGCAGGUGAGAGCUUCGGCGCAUCAUCGACCGAUCCUGAUGUUCUCGGAUGGAUUUGAGUAAGAGCAUACGGGGCCGGACCCGAAAGAAGGUGAACUAUGCCUGUAUAGGGUGAAGCCAGAGGAAACUCUGGUGGAGGCUCGCAGCGGUUCUGACGUGCAAAUCGAUCGUCAAAUAUGGGCAUGGGGGCGAAAGACUAAU